AUCACAACAUCAAACACACAAAGCCUUCUGUAUCGCCAGGGCAUGGCGUAUUGAUAUUGGGUAGGGGUAUAUGCUUCUUCCUCGGCCUCAGAUUCCUUGUGCCCACCGCCACUGCGCGUGUUCUUCACCUGCAUUUAUAUUUCCAUUAUUCAGAUAUUAAUUACCAAUAAUGUAUUAGAUUGUGAAAAUAGUCUAAUUAUAUUAUUAAUCUGGGUUUGCAUGUGAAACGCUUUGUUAUUUUUCUCUUUAGAGGAUGAUGGUAAGCUAGGCUUAUUCUCUUUUAAAAUCUCAGUUUCCGUUUUUAGUAUAUAAUGUUAUAUUUUCAUUUUUUGUGUUUGGAUUCAGGAAUUGGAAAUUUUCGCUUUAUUACCGACCAGCCUCAAGCCCGACCUUCGUCCCAUCUGUGCAUUCAAACUCACACAUGAAGAUAAUUGGAAUUGAGAAGGAAGGACGACGAGCAGUUUGAUAGCAUCAUAAUUCGCACAAUGAUUUCCGGAGCAUAAGGACAAGAGGGUAAAGCAGUUCUAAGGUUGGUCUUUGAUCCGCAGGGAAGUCAGUGGAGGAAGAGAUGGUAUACAUAAGAAGAUGUUUGGCUGGAUUAUGUGUACCUGAGGAGAACAUGUGAAAGCCAAUGUUUGCUUUUUUGUUUGUUUGCUCUUUCAAAUAACCGUAUUCUUUCAA